AUUGCAGCUACGGAGACAUGGUUCCGUCAACAAUGGUCGGAAAGGUGAUUGGUGGCGUCUGCUCCUUGAGUGGCGUCCUGGUCAUUGCCCUUCCUGUACCUGUAAUUGUUUCCAAC
rfam:Trichuris suis scaffold222.1, whole genome shotgun sequence.